GAUCCGUUAGGUUCCGCUCGCUAUCCCGCAUCGGUGUUUUUUUUCCUACCCGUGUAGCUUCCCCUGUCUCUUCCCCUCGCCGCUUGAUCCCCUUUGUCAUUUCGAACACUACCACGGAAUAGAGGCGAGUGAGAGAGAUUGUCAUGGCGAUUUGGAGCUCCCCCUCGCCGCUCGAUCCAGCUGGUUGGUGGUGACUUGUCCGUGCUCUCCCUCCCUCUGCCUCGCCCCCUCCGCCUCGCCGCUGUUUCUCCCGCCGAAGGCCUGCAGCAUCUCUCGCCCCCCUCAUCCACCCCGGCCCCAUUAUUUCGCCACCCGUCGAUUUUGUUCGUCUGAUUUGCCUCUGGUGUAGAUGUGUGAGGUUGCGCCUGUUUCUCCGAUUGAUACUCAUCAGCCAUGCGAAUUUGAUUAGUGUUUCUGGCUACUUGUUAGUUUGAUUGAUCUGUAUGUGUGACUCACCCGCGUCAGCGGACAGCGAGUCGCCUGAACCUGAUGAUCCAGGCGAUGGCGCAGGCAGCCAGCAUGGUGGCAGAGGGUGAAGCCUCGAGUGGGUGUGGUGGGCUGACUAGUGUGCCCACGUGACAGUGUGUGUGUGUGUGUGUGCUCUGUAUAUUAGUUGGACAUGCAUGAGUUAAGUCUGAAGUCUGAACCUUCUCUGUUCUCUGAACCUCUCCCAACUUUCCUCUCCAUCCUCUGUUUGAUUGAUCUGUACGCGGUAUUGUGCAAUUUGAACAUAGUGAAUCGUGUUUAGUCCCCUGCUGUCCAGUGUUGUUAGUUAGUAUGUCUAUGUGUUAAUUUUCACCUGGGCCGUUUUUGUUGUCACUGUGUGGAUGCAUGGUUGGUCCCCUCGCCUUGGGAUUGUCUCUGUAAUUCUCAAUGGAUUUACUGUGUAAUUCCUAUUGGAUUUGCAAUGUAAUUCCUGUUUGGUUUUACAGUGUAAAUCCACAGUGUAAUUCCUAGUGGAUUUACACUGUACUUCUCAUUGGCUUUACACUGUAAUUUUCAUUGGAUUUGCACUGUAACUGUCAUUAGAUCUGCAGUUGGUUUAGAAUGUAAUUCCUAUUGGUUUUCAGUGUAAUUCCUACUGGGUUUAGAGUGUAAUCCUAUUGGUUUUUCAGUGUAAUUUUUAUUUGGUUUCGCAGUGUAACUCCUUUCUGUUUUUACAGUGUAAUUUCUAGUGGAUUUCCAAUGUAAUUCCCAUUCUAGCCUGUAAGUGUUGAUGCUAGUUUGCCGUUGGAUUUCACAUUCUUGAGUCUGUAGAUUGAUGUAGGAUGGUUCUGCUGUAGCUUUGAUUUUUGGAAUUGCUAAUUUUCAUCCGGAUGAAAACUUUUCGCUCGUCCGUUGUGUGAGCCGUCCGAUCUCUGUCUGUAGCUUUCACCUGUAUUUUCUUAGUGGUUUUACUAUAAUUCUUAGUCGGUUUUUACAUUGUAAUCUUUAGUGGAAGUUCAAUGUAAUUCUCAGGGGAUCUUUUCACUGUAAUUCUCAGUGGGUUUACACUGUAAUACAACUGAUAUGUUGUAAUUCUAAUUGUUUUUACAGUGUAAAUCCAAUUACAGCGAUAUUAUCAGUGGGUUUACAGUGUAAUUCCUCAGUGGAUUUACACUGUAAUUCUUCGUGCUAUUGUAAUGUAAUUCUUUAGUUUUUGAAAUGUAUCUUAGUGAAUUUUACAGUGCAAUUCUCAAUGGAUCUACACUGUAAUAUCUUAGUGGAUUUUACAGUGUAACACUCACUAGAUUUUCACUGUAAUUAUCUUAUUUUGCAUUUUGAUUGUGUAACUCUCAAUGGAUCUACACUGUAAUUCUUUAUUGGAUUUUUACUAUGUAAGUCUCAGUGGAUUCACACCGUAAUUCUUGGUGGUUUUACUGUGUAAUAUCUUGGUGGAUUUUACAGUGUAACUCUCAUGGGAUUGUCACUGUAAUUAUCUUAUUUGCAUUUUUACUGUGUAACUCUCAAUGUAUCUACACUGUAGUUAUUUAUUGUAUUUUUACUAUGUAAGUCUCAGUAGAUUCACACCGUAAUUCUUGGUGGUUUUACCGUGUAAAUCUUAGUGCCAUGCACUGUAUUCAUCGCUUUGCUCUAGUGCAUUUUAGUGUCAUUUAUUUCAGUGUAAGAAGCACUUUAAUUCUACUGAUAUCUCUUUAGCUACAAUGCUCUUAUUUUCUGUAAUUUACAGUAAAUUGGUUUGGUAUGCUUCCCUAAUUUUUUUAGUUCCAACACUGAUUCAUAAUUUCAUCAGGCUUUGGGAAUGUGUAUAUCACUCCUAUGAUGCAUAAAAGGAUUAAUUUUCGAAGAGUUUGAUGUGUUGCACCCAGCUGUUCCUAAGCAAGAUAAUCGCCAUGACUGUGGUGUCUUUACAUUUAAGUAUAUGGAUAUCUUCACACCAAGAACUCAGAUGUCAAUCCUUUUCUCUAGUGUAGACAUUCCAAAUCUUAGGAUCAAAUAUGUGAAUGACAUGCAUUUUCAGCCCCUUGAACAGUUCUGACAAAUCUUUUGUCACUGAUUUCUUUGGUGAUGGAGGCAAUGCCAAGUGAGGUUCAGCAUGUGCGCAGUCCUAGCUCAAAUGGUGACUGAGUUUUAUUUUUCAGUAGCAUGUAAUCUAAACAAAGUAGCAUGCAAUCUGAGCAUAGUAGUAUUUGUUUAGUAGUGGUUCUAUGUUUCAUUUUGAUUGUAAGGUUGUUGGAUACUGUCAUGUCUUUAUGCCUGUGACUCGGCAGUACGUAUUUGAGCACGUUAAUACUACAGUGCUUAAAAAAAUUGAUUCUAUAUCAGGGGUCCCUUUCUUAAUGAUCAUUGUUCCUUGUAUCUCA